rnacentral:rRNA from 1 species
UACAGGGGUCCCAAGCGUUGUUCGGAUUCACUGGGCGUAAAGGGUGCGCAGGUGGUCGGGUAAGUCUGAUGUGAAAUCCCGCAGCUUAACUGCGGAAUGGCAUUGGAUACUAUUCGGCUAGAGGGUUGGAGGGGGGACUGGAAUUCUCGGUGUAGCAGUGAAAUGCGUAGAUAUCGAGAGGAACACCAGUGGCGAAGGCGAGUCCCUGGACAACUCCUGACGCUGAGGCACGAAAGCUAGGGGAGCAAACAGG